UCCACCGUGAGGUGGAAUCUGAAGGAAGCCUAAGGCAAAAUCCUGAACUGACGAACAGAAACUGUAUAUAAGGCUGAAUUGGAACGGAUGAGUUUGCAUUACAAAACGAAGUCCUAUACUGCACGAAUUCCAUACAGUAAAUACAGCAGUUAUAUGGGAGGAAGGUUAUAGCU
rnacentral:ncRNA from 1 species